rnacentral:rRNA from 1 species
UACGUAGGGGGCAAGCGUUGUCCGGAUUUAUUGGGCGUAAAGAGCUCGUAGGCGGUUCCGUAAGUCGGGUGUGAAAAAUCUGGGCUCAACCCAGUGGAGCACCCGAUACUGCGGUGACUCGAGUCCGGUAGGGGAGUGUGGAAUUCCUGGUGUAGCGGUGAAAUGGGUAGAUAUCAGGAGGAACACCCAUGGCGAAGGCAGCUCACUGGCCAUUAUCUGACGCUGAGGCGCGAAAGCGUGGGUAGCAAACAGG